rnacentral:rRNA from 1 species
AUACGUAGGGUGCAAGCGUUAAUCGGAAUUACUGGGCGUAAAGCGUGCGCAGGCGGUUUUGUAAGACAGAGGUGAAAUCCCCGGGCUCAACCUGGGAACUGCCUUUGUGACUGCAAGGCUAGAGUACGGCAGAGGGGGAUGGAAUUCCGCGUGUAGCAGUGAAAUGCGUAGAUAUGCGGAGGAACACCGAUGGCGAAGGCAAUCCCCUGGGCCUGUACUGACGCUCAUGCACGAAAGCGUGGGGAGCAAACAGGAUUAGAUACCCUGGUAGUCCACGCCCUAAACGAUGUCAACUGGUUGUUGGGUCUUCAUUGACUCAGUAACGAAGCUAACGCGUGAAGUUGACCGCCUGGGGAGUACGGCCGCAAGGUUGAAUCUCAAAUGAAUUGGCGGGG